GACGAACGCUGGCGGCGUGCCUAAUACAUGCAAGUAGAACGCUGAAGGAGGAGCUUGCUUCUCUGGAUGAGUUGCGAACGGGUGAGUAACGCGUAGGUAACCUGCCUGGUAGCGGGGGAUAACUAUUGGAAACGAUAGCUAAUACCGCAUAAUAGUAGAUGGUGCAUGACAUUUGCUUAAAAGGUGCAAUUGCAUCACUACCAGAUGGACCUGCGUUGUAUUAGCUAGUGGGUGGGGUAACGGAUCACCAAGGCGACGAUACCUAGCCGACCUGAGAGGGGGCUCGGCCACGCUGGGAUUGAGACACGGCCCAGACUCCUGCGGGAGGCAGCCGUAGGGGAUCUUCGGCAAUGGACGGAAGUCUGACCGAGAGACGCCGCGUGAGUGCAGAAGGUUUUCGGAUCGUAAAGCUCUGUUGUAAGAGAAGAACGAGUGUGAGAGUGGAAAGUUCACACUGUGACGGUAUCUUACCAGAAAGGGACGGCUAACUACGUG
rnacentral:rRNA from 1 species